rnacentral:lncRNA from 1 species
CUUAAGUCAAUUUUCUCAGUUUUUAUUGGCUCGGGGCUCUUGAUUUUUUUUGUUCUAUGAGCGGAUUCAUCUAGUUAGGGAUGAAUCAUUAUUGAUGCUAUAUUACACUGUUUUUUUAUGAGAUGACUUACAGACCUUACAUAUUGGAAUCUUAUAUCAUUGAUAUUUUCUUUCUCUCUUUCUCUCAUCCUUCCAUUUAUCCGC